UUGGACCUGAUAUCAGGCAAGAUUACCCGCUGAACUUAAGCAUAUCAUA
rnacentral:rRNA from 2 species